AACGAACGCUGGCGGCAUGCCUAACACAUGCAAGUCGAACGAGACCUUCGGGUCUAGUGGCGCACGGGUGCGUAACGCGUUGGAACCUGCCUUUAGUUUCGGAAUAACUCAGAGAAAUUUGAGCUAAUACCGGAUGAUGUCUUCGGACCAAAGAUUUAUCGCCUUUAGAUGGGCCCGCGUUGGAUUAGCUAGUUGGUGGGGUAAAGGCCUACCAAGGCGACGAUCCAUAGCUGGUCUGAGAGGAUGAUCAGCCACACUGGGACUGAGACACGGCCCAGACUCCUACGGGAGGCAGCAGUGGGGAAUAUUGGACAAUGGGCGAAAGCCUGAUCCAGCAAUGCCGCGUGAGUGAUGAAGGCCUUAGGGUUGUAAAGCUCUUUUACCCGAGAUGAUAAUGACAGUAGCGGGAGAAUAAGCUCCGGCUAACUCCGUG
rnacentral:rRNA from 1 species